ACUGCCAUAUCACCUCACUUCUCUUUGGGAUUUCUCUUGGAGUGGUUGGUCUGAGAGAAAUCUCUGAGACAGAAGACCUUUCUGAGCAUUGACCAUCUCUCAGUGAACCCAAACCCCCUUGGAUCCAGCUGAAGAUAAAGGAGUGGAUGGGACUUUGUUAGAAAGCCAUUCACCCAAAGAAGAAUUCUCUCUAUUCCCUAAAAUUGUCUUAUGAACUUCAAGCCACAAUUAGGGUAGAUAGAAAUAAGGACAGAUCUCACAACUGACCAAGGAGGGUCAGGCAGAUAGCCUGAACCCUCAGGAUUUGGGGAGGGGGUCAGUUGUUAGCUCAUAGGGAUUUCCCAGUUCCCACUUCCCUUACUCAACAACCCACUCUCCCUGUCUUGUGUGUCCCUUAGAAUAAGAGUCAUUCCUCUUAGAUCAAAUCUGUCUGCCUCAUAACAAUCAAGGAGAGGACGUGAAGCUUGCGGGGAGAACUAUACCUUUCUCAAGAUGAGAAAAAUGAGGACCAGAAAAGUGAAAGGAUUUUCCCAGAGUUCCAUAAGCAGCAAGUUGCAGAACAAGGAUUGGAAUUCAGGUCUUUUGAUCCUACUAUCAGUGAUCUGGUGCAUUGCAGUUAGAGUAAAAUUCAAGCCAGAAUUAGAAUACAUUUGUCUACAAUUAAGAAAAAUUAAACUGUAAUACAAGUGCUUUAAAAAUU